rnacentral:rRNA from 1 species
GGAUCCAGACUUUGAUCCUGGCUCAGGACGAACGCUGGCGGCGUGCUUAACACAUGCAAGUCGAACGGUGAAGAGGAGCUUGCUUCUUGGAUCAGUGGCGAACGGGUGAGUAACACGUGAGUAACCUGCCCUUGACUCUGGGAUAACUGCUAGAAAUGGUAGCUAAUACCGGAUACGACCCUCGGCCGCAUGGUCAGGAGGUGGAAAGAAUUUUGGUCAAGGAUGGACUCGCGGCCUAUCAGGUAGUUGGUGAGGUAAUGGCUCACCAAGCCUACGACGGGUAGCCGGCCUGAGAGGGUGACCGGCCACACUGGGACUGAGACACGGCCCAGACUCCUACGGGAGGCAGCAGUGGGGAAUAUUGCACAAUGGGCGAAAGCCUGAUGCAGCAACGCCGCGUGAGGGACGACGGCCUUCGGGUUGUAAACCUCUUUUAGUAGGGAAGAAGCGAAAGUGACGGUACCUGCAGAAAAAGCACCGGCUAACUACGUGCCAGCAGCCGCGGUAAUACGUAGGGUGCAAGCGUUGUCCGGAAUUAUUGGGCGUAAAGAGCUCGUAGGCGGUUUGUCGCGUCUGCUGUGAAAUCCGGAGGCUCAACCUCCGGCCUGCAGUGGGUACGGGCAGACUAGAGUGCGGUAGGGGAGAUUGGAAUUCCUGGUGUAGCGGUGGAAUGCGCAGAUAUCAGGAGGAACACCAAUGGCGAAGGCAGAUCUCUGGGCCGUAACUGACGCUGAGGAGCGAAAGCAUGGGGAGCGAACAGGAUUAGAUACCCUGGUAGUCCAUGCCGUAAACGUUGGGAACUAGAUGUGGGGGCCAUUCCACGGUCUCCGUGUCGCAGCUAACGCAUUAAGUUCCCCGCCUGGGGAGUACGGCCGCAAGGCUAAAACUCAAAGGAAUUGACGGGGGCCCGCACAAGCGGCGGAGCAUGCGGAUUAAUUCGAUGCAACGCGAAGAACCUUACCAAGGCUUGACAUAUAGAGGUAACGUGCAGAAAUGUACGCCCCGCAAGGUCUCUAUACAGGUGGUGCAUGGUUGUCGUCAGCUCGUGUCGUGAGAUGUUGGGUUAAGUCCCGCAACGAGCGCAACCC